UACGAAGGGUGCAAGCGUUACUCGGAAUUACUGGGCGUAAAGCGUGCGUAGGUGGUGAGUUAAGUCUGUCGUGAAAGCCCCGGGCUCAACCUGGGAAUGGCGAUGGAUACUGGCUCGCUAGAGUGCGGUAGAGGAGAGUGGAAUUCCCAGUGUAGAGGUGAAAUUCGUAGAUAUUGGGAAGAACACCGAUGGCGAAGGCAGCCAUCUGGACCGACACUGACGCUGAGGCGCGAAAGCGUGGGGAGCAAACAGG
rnacentral:rRNA from 1 species